CCUACGGGGAGCAGCAGUGAGGAAUAUUGGUCAAUGGGCGGGAGCCUGAACCAGCCAAGCCGCGUGAGGGAAGAAGGUACAGCGUAUCGUAAACCUCUUUUGUCAGGGAACAAAGGCGGGGACUAGUCCCCGGAUGAGGGUACCUGAAGAAAAAGCAUCGGCUAACUCCGUGCCAGCAGCCGCGGUAAUACGGAGGAUGCGAGCGUUAUCCGGCUUUAUUGGGUUUAAGGGGUGCGCAGGCGGCCUGUUAAGUCAGCGGGAAAAGCCCGGGGCUCAACCCCGGCGAGCCGUUGAAACUGGCGGGCUGGAGUUGGAGAGAAGUACGCGGAAUGCGCGGUGUAGCGGUGAAAUGCUUAGAUAUCGCGCAGAACCCCGAUUGCGAAGGCAGCGUACCGGCUCCACACUGACGCUGAGGCACGAAAGCGUGGGUAUCGAACAGGAUUAGAUACCCUAGUAGUC
rnacentral:rRNA from 1 species